CGGUGGCGCCGUGUGCCCGGCUCAGGGCCACCCCGCACCCGGACGCCCUCCUCAGCCCAGGGGCUCCCAACAGCCCACUGCCUGAUCCCCUUGAGGCCGCAGUUGCUGUCUCCCCCAUUGUGUCGUUGGCCCACGACCCCUGGCCGCCAGGGACCAGGCCGUGACGACACUCGGCACCCGAGACCUCUGAUCCCAGGCCCACAGGCCCCCUGAGGCCGACCCUGCCCACUGGGGCCUGUCUGCCUCCCUGCUCGUCUGUAGCCUGCCGGGCAGCUGCUGCCCCAGGACAUUUGCACGUGCUCUUCUCGCGCCUGUGACCUCAGAUGUCUGCCACAGUACCGCACCCUCGCCAAGGCCUCACCCGACGCCUGGUGGAAAACCGCCCCCCUCCUGAGCCCACUCCUCCUCGAGCCUCCUGGACCUCCCUCAGGUCCUUACGACUGCCUCACAAUCCCACCCGGGGUCAUUGCGUGGGAUGGGCCGGCGCCCCACACACGCCUCAGUCUAGGGGCACAGCUCCCCCCGCAGGGCACCCCCGUGCCUCAGUCUCCGUUCCAUUUCAGGGGACACUUCACCCCCCAAAUGCCCAGCAGAGCUCGCUCAGACUCGGCCCCAGACAGAAACAGGACCCUUGGGCAGCCCCGGUGGCUCAGCGGUUUAGCGCCGCCUGCAGCACGGGGUGUGGUCCUGGGGACCCGGG